AUUGAACGCUGGCGGCAUGCCUUACACAUGCAAGUCGAACGGUAACAGGUCUUCGGAUGCUGACGAGUGGCGAACGGGUGAGUAAUACAUCGGAACGUGCCCGAUCGUGGGGGAUAACGAGGCGAAAGCUUUGCUAAUACCGCAUACGAUCUACGGAUGAAAGCGGGGGAUCUUCGGACCUCGCGCGGACGGAGCGGCCGAUGGGAGAUUAGGUAGUUGGUGGGAUAAAAGCUUACCAAGCCGACGAUCUGUAGCUGGUCUGAGAGGAUGAUCAGCCACACUGGGACUGAGACACGGCCCAGACUCCUACGGGAGGCAGCAGUGGGGAAUUUUGGACAAAGGGCGAAAGCCUGAUCCAGCCAUGCCGCGUGCAGGAUGAAGGCCUUCGGGUUGUAAACUGCUUUUGUACGGAACGAAAAGCCUCUUUCUAAUAAAGAGGGGUCAUGACGGUACCGUAAGAAUAAGCACCGGCUAACUACGUG
rnacentral:rRNA from 1 species